GGCGACGAUCCCUAGCUGGUCUGAGAGGAUGACCAGCCACACUGGAACUGAGACACGGUCCAGACUCCUACGGGAGGCAGCAGUGGGGAAUAUUGCACAAUGGGCGCAAGCCUGAUGCAGCCAUGCCGCGUGUGUGAAGAAGGCCUUCGGGUUGUAAAGCACUUUCAGCGGGGAGGAAGGCGAUACGGUUAAUAACCGUGUUGAUUGACGUUACCCGCAGAAGAAGCACCGGCUAACUCCGUGCCAGCAGCCGCGGUAAUACGGAGGGUGCAAGCGUUAAUCGGAAUUACUGGGCGUAAAGCGCACGCAGGCGGUCUGUCAAGUCGGAUGUGAAAUCCCCGGGCUCAACCUGGGAACUGCAUUCGAAACUGGCAGGCUUGAGUCUUGUAGAGGGGGGUAGAAUUCCAGGUGUAGCGGUGA
rnacentral:rRNA from 4 species